UUCCUUGUCCCUCAGAAAGAUUCCCUUUCCCCUUUUCCUGGUGGAGAUGUUGGUGGUCAAAGCCCUUCACAAGAUUACUAAGAAACAUCUAUAACUGGGAAUUCAAAAAAUGUAAAUAGUUGGCCAGCUAAAGGGGUCAGAAACUUUUCACACAUGCACUGCCUACUUCUUAACUAUAUCAAUUAGGGUUAUCAAAUGUUUAUCAAUUUGAUGUUCUACCUACUUCCCAAGUCUGUAAACUAGGUCACUCAUCCCAUAUGAUGAUAAACUUGUUUCCCUUCUCAUCGUUCUUUUGUAGUGUACAUCCAAAUAACAAUUUUCAUGAUAAAGGUUAAUCCAAGAUCACAUAUGAAGUAUUGGAUCAUUUACAAAGGUAGUGUUUGGACACUUGCAACUGGGUCUAAGUGAACCCAUUUGCAAGAAGUGGCUUUUUUCCGCUGUUUGGGUGGGUGUAAAGUGGUGGGGCCCAUGUAUUUGGAGCUACAAUAGGGCCUCACUUGCUGCAAGAGGUCGUACGGCUGGUGUCAUAGGACAACGAUGCAGCAAGUGGCUUCCAUGCAUUAAAGGCUUCAUUGCGCAUCAGUUGGGUUUUACUCCAUGUUACCAUCCCCUCUAGUGGGGACCCUCUCUCCCUAUUUUCUCUCACGCUGGUCCAGCAGUCUAGCUUCCUUCAACCACCAUCCCCAUCCUCAGAGCUUCAUCGACCCCCUUCUACUACUCAAGCUCUAUGAUGAUCGUCCAGUUCCACAUGUGCUUGAGAGCUAUCACUGCAAUGUCCCAUUUUGGGUUUAUAUGAUGCCUCUGUUAUUCACUUCCUCUUUCUUUCUCAUAGUCUACCUUGGUUUUGAUAGCAAAAGGUGACUUGGCUUUCAACUACCAACUUUAUACUUUGUGUUCAGUGUACUGAAAGCAAUACGAUAUCUGAACUGUUUUCCACCUU